rnacentral:rRNA from 1 species
CAACGCGAAAACCUUACCCACCUUUGACAUGUACGGAAUCCUUUAGAGAUAGAGGAGUGCUCGAAAGAGAGCCGUAACACAGGUGCUGCAUGGCUGUCGUCAGCUCGUGUCGUGAGAUGUUGGGUUAAGUCCCGCAACGAGCGCAACCCUUGCCAUUAGUUGCUACGAAAGGGCACUCUAAUGGGACUGCCGGUGACAAACCGGAGGAAGGUGGGGAUGACGUCAAGUCCUCAUGGCCCUUAUAGGUGGGGCUACACACGUCAUACAAUGGCUGGUACAGAGGGUUGCCAACCCGCGAGGGGGAGCUAAUCCCAUAAAGCCAGUCGUAGUCCGGAUCGCAGUCUGCAACUCGACUGCGUGAAGUCGGAAUCGCUAGUAAUCGCGGAUCAGAAUGUCGUGGUGAAUACGUUCCCGGGUCUUGUACACACCGCCCGUCACACCAUGGGAGCGGGUUCUGCCAGAAGUAGGUAGCCUAACCGUAAGGAGGGCGCUUACCACGGCAGGGUUCGUGACUGGGGUGAAGUCGUAACAAGGUAGGCGUAGACGU